UUCCGGUUGAUCCUGCCGGAAGCCACUGCUAUCGGGGUUCGACUAAGCCAUGCGAGUCGUAUGUUCCCCUUCGGGGGAGCAUGGCGCACUGCUCAGUAACACGUGGAUAACCUACCCUUGGGACAGGGAUAACCCCGGGAAACUGGGGAUAAUACCUGAUAGACCAUGGAGGCUGGAAGGCGCCAUGGUUCAAAGGGGCAACCGCCCGCCCAAGGAUGGGUCUGCGGCCUAUCAGGUUGUAGUGGGUGUAACGCACCUACUAGCCUACGACGGGUACGGGCUGUGGGAGCAGGAGCCCGGAGAUGGAUUCUGAGACAUGAAUCCAGGCCCUACGGGGUGCAGCAGGCGCGAAAACUUUACAAUGCGGGAAACCGUGAUAAGGGAACCUCGAGUGCCGAUGCAUAGCAUCGGCUGUCCAGAUGCCUAAAAAGCAUCUGAUAGCAAGGGCCGGGCAAGACCGGUGCCAGCCGCCGCGGUAACACCGGCGGCUCGAGUGGUGGCCACUUUUAUUGGGUCUAAAGCGUCCGUAGCCGGCUUGGCAAGUCCCCUGGGAAAUCUGGCGGCUUAACCGUCAGGCGUCCAGAGGAUACUGCCAGGCUUGGGACCGGGAGAGGUGAGAGGUACCUCAGGGGUAGGGGUGAAAUCUUGUGAUCCCUGAGGGACCACCAGUGGCGAAGGCGUCUCACUAGAACGGGUCCGACGGUCAGGGACGAAAGCUGGGGGCACGAACCGGAUUAGAUACCCGGGUAGUCCCAGC
rnacentral:rRNA from 1 species